GGUACGGAGGGAGCCACGCCCACCACGCCAACGCGUCUGCGUGUGCCCGGGCGCUCGGCGAAGGGGCUUUCCGCAGUUCUGGGUUCACAGCUGGACGUCGGAAGUGCCAGCUUGGGGUACGCCCUUUGAGAGGAGGCGUGAGAAGUUGCUCUGUGUGCUGAGCUUUCUAAAGGAAGGGGUCCGUUGGCCUUUGUACCCGUCUUGAGUGAGGUGACGAGUGUUUUCUAGUACUGGGGUCGGCCUCUUAGCCCUCUCAGGUGUGGGUGGCAGGAAGAGUGCCGGGUCCCGUGCAAAAGGUGGGUUCAGGUUUGCAGCCACACAGCGCUACUCAGGACUUUUUAGCCUUGUUUAUUUUCUCCGUGCCUGUUCCCGCCCCCCGCAGCUCCACCUCUGGGAGAGGGGCGGGUUCAGCUCCAGGAGGCGGGGACUUCCAGGCUUGGCGUGGCUGAGGGGUCCCGUGGACCCCAGUCUCGGCGCGGUGACCCACUUAUGGGACUUGGCCUUUCUUUGCUGUUUGUUUAAGGCAGGGUUUCUCAGCCUGGACACUACUGAGGUUUUGGGCGGGCUAAUUCUGUCUGGGUUGGGGAGGGUGACGUCCCGUGCUUCGUAGGAUGAUGUGUAGUUGCAUCCCCCGCCUCUACCCAGUGGAUGCAAGUAGCAGCCCCAGUGAACCAAAAAUUCCCCCAGACUUUGCCAAAUAUCCCCUCCCGGGGAAGAUCGCCUCGCUUGAGAACCACUGUUGGAGGAGAGCCUGAGUUUUCGGGAGGUGACCGUUUACAAAGGGGAGGACGGUAAGAAGCCGGAAGCAACGAUGUCUUAGCUACGUGAACGACUUGUGACCGGGCUUGCCCCUCUUCUAGAAGCCGUCAGUUUGGGUCUCGCGUCUGGAAUCACCGUCAAGGAGUCAGAUCCAGCCCCGGAGAGGGAGCAGGGUCGAGGUCUCCUUGCAGAAGGCGCCACUGGAGGAAGCACAGGCGCAACGUGCGGUCUCCCUAGCGAGGCGCUCGCGAUCCUGCAGCCGCCGGUCCGGGAGGUGCUCGGUACCCCUCCUUGGUGCCUGUCCGGUAGCUGGUCACUCUCGGGGGAAGGUCGUGCUGCAGAAGGGCACAUGCGAUCACACAGAGACGGCGUUGCUGCGGCUUUGACCCUGUGGUGCACCCGAAAGAACCCAGAGGGUGGAGGGAGAGAUCCAGGAAGAAGUCGCGGAGCAGAACCCCCUUUCACUUCAGUUAAAAAGGAUCCCCUCCAGAAUACCACAUUACAUUUAGUCGUUAUGUCUCCUUAGUCUCCCCUUGGCUGUGUCAGUUUCACAUACUUUCUUUGUUUUUGAUGAUAUAGAUUUGAAGAGUACUAGCCAGGAAUAUUAUAGGUAUUGGGUUUUUUAAAUGUAUGUGUCAUUUCAUGAUUAAAAAUCAGUUGCGGCCAGGUGUGGUGGCUCAGCACUUUGGGAGGCUAAGGUGGGAGGAUCGCUUGAGGCCAGGAGUUCAAGACCAGCCUGGCCAAUGUGGCAAAACCCCAUCUCUACUAAAAAUACAAAAAAUAUAGCUGGGCACGGUGGCACACACCUGUAAUCCCAACUACUUGGGAGGCUGAAGCACAAGAAUCGUUUGAACCUGGGAGGUGGAGGUUGUAGUGAGCCAAGAUUGUGCCACUGCAUUCUAGUCUAGGCAACAGGUGAGACUCUGUCUCAAAAAAAAAAAAAAAUAGUGUGGAUUACAGUAUCUGUUGGGCCUACCAUUGUAAAACACAUACACAUGCAUGUGCACACGCAAACCUCCAGGCUAUCACUUCAGUGCCAGCUAGCAUCAUUUCUUACUCUAACCACUGCAGCUGUGUCCCUGCUUCAUCUUGGGGCUUCAUUCUCAUAUAUUUUCUUCACACAGCAGCCACAGAGAGGCUUUUACAAUGUAAACCAGAGUCUAUUACUUCUGUUCUCCAACUACUUCAGUGGCUAAAUUGGUACCAGUAGAGUGGGGUGCUGCUGUAGAUACUUAAAAAUGGGUACGUGACUUUGGAACUGGGUAACAGAUAGGGUUUGGAACAGUUUGGAGGGCUCAGAAGAAGACAGGCAAAUGUGCGAAAGUUUGGAACUUCCCAGAGACUUGUUGAAUGGCUUUGCCCAAAAUGCUGAUAGCACUGUGGACAAUAAAGUCCGUAGGCUGAGGUGGUCUCAGAUGGAAAUGAGGAACUUGUUGGGAACUGGAGCAAAGGUGACUCUUGUUAUGUUUUAGCAAAGAUACUGGCGGCAUUUUGCCCCUGCACUAGAUAUUUGUAGAACUUUGAACUUCAGAGAGAUGAUUUAGAGUAUCUGGCAGGAGAAAUUUCUAAGCAGCAAAGCAUUCAAGAGGUGACUUGGGUGCUGUUAAAGACAUUCAGUUUUAUAAGGGAAGCAGAGCAUAAAAGUUCAGAAAAUUUGCAGCCUGACAAUGUGAUAGAAAAGAGAAAUUCCCAUUUUCUGAGGAGAAAUUCAAGCUGGCUGCAGAAAUUUGCAUGAGUAACAGGAGCCAAAUGCUAAUUCCCAAGACAAUGGGGAAAAUGUCUCCAGGGCAUGUCAGAGGUCUUUAUGGCAACCCCUCCCAUCACAGGCCCAGAGGUAUCACGAAAAAAUGGUUUCGUUGGCCAGGCCCAGGGUCCUCGUGCUGUGUGCAGCCUAGGGACUUGGUGCCCUGCAUCCCAGCCACUCCCAACCAUGACUGACAGGAGGCAAGGUAGAGCUUGGGCUGUAGCUUCAGGGAGUGCAAGCCCCAAGCCUUGACAGCUUCCAUGUGGUGUUGAGACUGCGAGUACACAGAAGUCAAGAAUUGGGGUUUGGAAACCUUCGCUUAGAUUAAAGAGGAUGUGUGGAAAUGCCUGGAUGCCCAGGCAGAAGUUUUCUGCAGGGGCAGGGCCCUCAUGGAGAUCCUCUGCCAGGGCAGUGCAGAAGGGAAAUGUGGGGUCAGAGACCCCACGCAGAGUCCCUACUGGGGCACCACCUAGUGGAGCUGUGAGAAGAGGUCCUCCAGACCCCAGAAUGGUAGAUCCACCGACAGCUUGCACCGUGUACCUGGAAAAGCUGCAGACACUCAAUGCCAGCCCGUGAAAGCAGCUGAGAGGGAGGCUGUACCCUGCAAAGGUACAGGGACAGAGCUGCCCAAGACCAUGGGAACCCACCCCUUCCAUCAGCUUGACCUGGAUGUGAGAUGUGGAGUCAAAGGAGAUCAUUUGGAGCUUUAAGAUUUGACUGCCCCACUGGAUUUUGGACUUUCAUGGGGUCUGUAGCCUCUUUGUUUUGACCAAUUUCUCUCAUUUGGAAUGGCUGUAUUUACCCAAUGCCUGUACCCCCAUUGUAUCUAGGAAGUAACUAACUUGCUUUGGAUUUUACAGGCUCAUAGAUGGAGAGGACUUGCCUUGUCUCAGAUGAGACAUUAGACUGUGGACUUUUGAGUUGAUGCUGAAAUCAUUUAAGACUUUGAGGGACUGUGGGGAUGGUGUGAUUGGUUUUGAAAUGUGAGGACAUGAAAUUUGGGAGGGGCCAUGGGUGGAAUGAUAGGGUUUGGUUGUGUCUCCACCCAAAUCUCAUCCUGAAUUCCCAUGCGUUGUGGGAGGGACCCAGUGGGAGGUAACUGAAUCAUGGGGACAGGUCUUUCCCAUGCUGUUCUUGUGAUAGUGAAUAAGUCUAACAGGAUCUGAUGGCUCUAUAAGGGGGAGGUUCUCUGCACAAGCUCUCUUUGUCUUUGCCUGUCAUCCAUGUAAGAUGUGACUUGCUCCUCAUUGCCUUUCGCCAUGGUUGUGAGACCUCCCCAGCCAUGUGGAACUGUAAGUCCAUUAAACCUCUCUUUCUUUUAUAAAUUGCCUAGUCUCGGGUUUGUGAACAGACUAAUACAAUGGCUUUUCACCUUGCAGAAUAAAAUCCUACGAGAUCCUCAUGCUCUAGCUCCAGGCCACCUCCUCAGGAGUUAGAUCACUUAUCUCUCUCUCCCUGGCCCACCCUUCUCUGUCACAUGGCUUCUUUGCUGACCCUCAUACACACCGCACUUAUCUUCUCUACCUGGAAGUUGUAUCCCGCAUACCCACAUGGCUCACUUCUUCACUUCAUUCAAGUCUCUGCUGAGAUGUUAACCUCUUCAAAGAGCCCUUCCUUCACACAUUGUCUUGCAUAGCAGCCUCCCCUACAAGUUGUCUUCUUUCUCCUUAACUUAUAUGAUGGUUAAUUUUAGGUGUCAGCUUGACUGGAUUAAAGAAUACCUAGAAAAUAAAAUAAAAUAAAAUAAAAAAAAGAAUACCUAGAGAACUGGAAAGGCAUUAUUUGUUAGUGUGUCUGUGAGGGUAUUUCCAGAAGAGAUUGAUACAUGACUGAAUGGACUAAGAGGAAACCAUCCGCCCUCAACGUGCAGUUGGCUUGGAACAAAAACGGAAGAAACGCAAAUUGGUCUUACUCUCUUGGAGCUGGAAUACAUGCUUCCAUUCCUGCCCUUGGAUUUCAGGAUCCCAGGCUGUUGGGUCUCAGGACUCCAGGACCUACACCAGCCUUUCCAUCACUGCUGGGGUUCUAAGGCCUUUGGGCUAAGAAUUAUAUCAUCAGCUUUCCUGAUUCUGAGGCUUUGGGACUUGGACUGAACCAUGCUACCAGUAUCCCUGGGUCUCCAGCUUGCAGACAAUCUGUUGUGGGACUUCUCAGCCUCUGUAAUCAUGUGAGCCCAUUCUAACUAAUAAAUCCCCUCUUAUAUAUCUAUGUA